UACGGGGGGGGCAAGCGUUGUUCGGAAUUACUGGGCGUAAAGGGCUCGUAGGCGGCCAACUAAGUCGGAUGUGAAAUCCCCAGGCUUAACCUGGGAACUGCAUCUGAUACUGGAUGGCUUGAAUCCGGGAGAGGGAUGCAGAAUUCCAGGUGUAGCGGUGAAAUGCGUAGAUAUCUGGAGGAAUACCGGUGGCGAAGGCGGCAUCCUGGACCGGCAUUGACGCUGAUGAGCGAAAAGCUAGGGGGAGCAAACGGG
rnacentral:rRNA from 1 species